rnacentral:lncRNA from 1 species
GCUGAUUCAUGAAAUUUCCACGCCGUGUGGCUUUAAGCUGUUUACGCGAGCUCAGGAGGCGACAGCGAGGGGUAUUUUUAGCUCGCUGGGUAGCAGAGCGGGAUUAAAAUGCAGUCAGUGUUACAGACGCUGGGGCUGAAUCAGUAUUCCUGCACAAACCUCUCCGUGCCAGCAUCUUCCAUUGAGUGUCUGAAAAAGCCGAGUUUCCAUGGAGACCCGGCUCCAGGGCAACCCGAUUCCUCGCUAAAAGCAGCAGGUAGGAGCGGUGCGAGGCACAGCCACGCUCCAGCUGCAGGAAGAGAGAGCUGGCACAUCCCCAUCCUCGUAUGGGAUGCAGAGAGGAGGGCACCGGGCUGCAAGGAAAACAGCUUUGCCUGGCGACGAAAAGCCAAGCCAGCAGCACAAGCACCUGCACGGCGUACACGGACCCGCUUUUGCACCAGCUGGUGGGGUACCAGAAGUCAGAGCCGGGCAAACCAGAGCUGCUCAUUUGCCCUUGGCACAGGGCUGAGUGCUGUCCCUGAUCCCCCUGAUGGUGAGCAGCGAGUCACGGUGCGAGUCAGCUCGUGUCCUUGGGAGUCCUCCAGGCAGCAGCGCUCAAUGGAGCGGGGAGAUGGGAGCCCUCGUGAAUCUUCAGCUCGGAGCAAUGAAGGCACCCAGUGUACCGGGACGGCAGCGCCAGAGCUGCCAUGAGCAAUGGGCAAGACAGGACCUGGUUUAGGUCAAG